rnacentral:rRNA from 1 species
AUUUCUGCCCGGUGAAUAUAUUUUUAACGGCCGCAGUACACUGACUGUGCAAAGGUAGCAUAAUAAAUUGGCUUUUAAUUGAAGUCGGGAAUGAAAGAAAAUUUGGGAUUUUACUGUCUUUAAUUAUUUUUAUAUAAAAUUAAUCUUAGAAAGUGAAAAUACUUUCAGAAAAUAUAAUAGACGAGAAGACCCUAUAAAUUUUAAAUAAAGGUAACUUUUUUAAUAGUGGUAUUACUAUUUUUUGUUGGGGCAACAACUUACCAUUAGCUAAAUGAAUAAUAUAAUGUAGGUAAAGUAUUAUAGUUACAUAUACUUUUUAAUAAUAAUCCAAGUAUUACUAUUAAUAAAAAAAUUACUAUAGGGAUAACAGCAUAAUUUUAUUAAAAAGAUUGUGACCUCGAUGUUGGACUAGGGAAUAUUUAGGGCAGCAUUCUAA